CACGUAGGCACCAAGCGUUGUCCGGAUUUAUUGGGCGUAAAGAGCUCGUAGGCGGUUCGAUAAGUCGGGUGUGAAAACUUUGGGCUCAACCCAAAGCGUGCAUUCGAUACUGUUGUGACUAGAGUUCGGUAGGGGAGUGGGGAAUUCCUAGUGUAGCGGUGAAAUGCGCAGAUAUUAGGAGGAACACCGGUGGCGAAGGCGGCGAUCUGGGUCGAUACUGACGCUGAGGAGCGAAAGCGUGGGGAGCGAACAGG
rnacentral:rRNA from 1 species